rnacentral:rRNA from 1 species
GUAGGCGGCCAAGUAAGCAGAAUGUGAAAUGAUACGGCUCAUCCGUAUCCCCAUGUUUUGAACUACUUGGCUAGAGAAUGGAAGAGGUCGCUAGAAUUCCUGGUGUAGGGGUGAAAUCCGUAGAUAUCAGGAGGAAUACCGAUGGCGUAGGCAGGCGACUGGUCCAUUUCUGACGCUCAGGCACGAAAGCGUGGGGAGUGAUCGGGAUUAGAUACCCCGGUAGUCCACGCCGUAAACGAUGGAUGCUAGCUGUGCGAGGUCUCGACCCCUUGCGUAGCAAAGCUAACGCGUUAAGCAUCCCGCCUGUGGAGUACGAGCGCAAGCUUAAAACAUAAAGGAAUUGACGGGGACCCGCACAAGCGGUGGAGCGUGUUGUUUAAUUCGAUGCAAAGCGAAGAACCUUACCCAGGUUUGACAUCCUGCGAAGGUUUGCGAAAGCAGACUGUGCCUUUUGGAACGCAGUGACAGGUGAUGCAUGGCCGUCGUCAGCUCGUGUCGUGAGAUGUUUGGUUAAGUCCAUCAACGAGCGCAACCCUUAUAGUUAGUUGAAUUUUUCUAGCUAGACUGCCUCGGUAACGGGGAGGAAGGAGGGGACGACGUCAGGUCAGUAUUUCCCUUACAUCUGGGGCUACAAACACGCUACAAUGGCCGGUACAAGGGGCAGCUAAGUCGCGAGACGGAGCAAAUCCCAUCAAAGCCGGUCCAAGUUCGGAUUGCAGGCUGAAACUCGCCUGCAUGAAGCUGGAAUCGCUAGUAACGGUAGGUCAGCACACUACCGUGAAUACGUUCCCGGGUCUUGUACACACCGCCCGUCAAGCCACGAAAGUCGUCAAUACCCAAAGUCCUAGCUUGUCUAGGCCUAAGGUAGGGGUGAUGAUUGGGGUU